rnacentral:rRNA from 1 species
AUUGAACGCUGGCGGCAGGCUUAACACAUGCAAGUCGAGCGGGGUGAUGGUGCUUGCACUAUCACUUAGCGGCGGACGGGUGAGUAAUGCUUAGGAAUCUGCCUAUUAGUGGGGGACAACAUCUCGAAAGGGAUGCUAAUACCGCAUACGUCCUACGGGAGAAAGCAGGGGAUCACUUGUGACCUUGUGCUAAUAGAUGAGCCUAAGUCGGAUUAGCUAGUUGGUGGGGUAAAGGCCUACCAAGGCGACGAUCUGUAGCGGGGCUGAGAGGUAGAUCCGCCACACGUGGACUGAUACACGGCCCAGACUCCUACGGGAGGCAGCAGUGGGUAAUAUUGGACAAUGGGGGGAACCCUGAUCCAGCCAUGCCGCGUGUGUGAAGAAGGCCUUAUGGUUGUAAAGCACUUUAAGCGAGGAGGAGGCUUACCUAGUUAAUACCUGGGAUAAGUGGACGUUACUCGCAGAAUAAGCACCGGCUAACUCUGUGCCAGCAGCCGCCGUAA